UACGUAGGGGGCAAGCGUUGUCCGGAUUCAUUGGGCGUAAAGAGCGUGUAGGCGGCCAGGUAGGUCGGUUGUGAAAACUGGAGGCUCAACCUUCAGAGGUCGACCGAAACCAUCUGGCUAGAGUCCGGGAGAGGAGAGUGGAAUUCCUGGUGUAGCGGUGAAAUGCGUAGAUAUCUGGAGGAACACCGGUGGCGAAGGCGGCAUCCUGGACCGGCAUUGACGCUGAGGCGCGAAAGCCAGGGGAGCAAACGGG
rnacentral:rRNA from 1 species